rnacentral:rRNA from 1 species
AAACCAACAGGGAUUGCCUUAGUAACUGCGAGUGAAGCGGCAAGAGCUCAAAUUUGAAAUCUGGCACCCGCCCGAAUUGUAAUUUGUAGAAGCAAUUUUUGAACUAGUCCUUGCAUAUGUUCCUUGGAACAGGACAUCAUAGAGGGUGAGAAUCCCGUUCAUGGUGGGGAGUCUAGUUCUUUGUAAAAUGCUUUCGACGAGUCGAGUUGUUUGGGAAUGCAGCUCUAAGUGGGUGGUAAAUUCCAUCUAAAGCUAAAUAUUGGCGAGAGACCGAUAGCGAACAAGUACAGUGAUGGAAAGAUGAAAAGUACUCCGAAAGGAGAGUGAAAUAGGACGUGAAAUUGUUGAAAGGGAAGUGCUUGAGAUCAGUGAUAGAGUAUAGUGAUCAACUUUCCUUUUGGUUUGUGCACUUGCUAUUCUCUAGGCCAGCAUCAGUUUGUGAGGUAGGAUAAUUGCAUAGGAAUGUGGCUGUUUCGGCAGUGUUAUAGCCUGUGUCGAUACUACUUUGCAGACUGAGGACCGCGCAUUUGCUAGGAUGCUGGCAUAAUGAUCUUAAGCAGC